AAACUUUAACACCCAUUUUCAUAAAAUAAUCUAUGUCAACACCUACUUUUCAAUUGCAACAGUUCUUAAAAUUUCCCCCCCACAAAUUUUCAUAUCCCGCGAAAAUAAUAUUUUUCCUCCACUAAUUUUCAAUACCCAUGAAACAAAAAAGUAGACCCCCUCCAAUACCCAGAACUCGCGAGAACCCAAAAUAGAACCCUAAUUUCUUUGCUACUUCUAUUGUGGAAAACUAAAAAUUGGAGACUUCUGCAAAUCAUCAUCGAAAAUAAAUUAAAGAAGAGUAAAGGGGUGGCAUAUGCCGACAUACAUCCGAUGUUUAUGACUCAAUUCUAUAUACCCAUUUCCCCAAAUUCUCUCCUUUGUUGAUUCCCAAUCAACCCCAACAAGUUUAAUCUUUCAUGGGGUUCUUCUAUUUUUAGUUUCUCUAUGAUUUUUACUCAAAGAUUUGAUCAUUUUCGUAGCGAUAAAUGUAGAGAUUUAUGUAGUGUUUCUUGAUUUGUAGGUUGUUAUUAUAUAUCUAGCUUAAAUCUUUAUGUGUUUACUUUCAUCCAUAAACUAUCCAUAAAAAUUGGUGACUUCUUGGCAACAAAAAGUUGUUGUUGAAGAUGAAUAGCUGAAUCUAAGAUAAAUCUUUGUGAAUUCUUUCAAUUUUUGGGGUUUCUUUGGUAUUUUUGAGAAGAUUAAGCAUGGUUGUUGAAGAAUAAUUUUGGAAAUUCUUUUAUAUUUUGGGGUUUCUCUGAAUUUUUGAUAUUUGGGGCCCAAAUUCUAGGGUUUUUCUUCAAUCCGAGAUAUUUUAAUUGAAGAAACAAGUUUUAAGGUUAGUAUAUUUGAUUUCUAAUCACACUGAUGUUGAAUUUCUAUUAUAUGAACUUUUAAAUUGGAUUUUCUUGUUUCUAGUAACAUGAGACUCAAUUUUUUGUUGGGUGUUUGAUUUUUAUUAUUUUUUUUGACCUGGAUGUUCGAUUUUCUAUUGGAUGAGUGUUCGAUGUACUGAUUUUUAUUAAUUUUUUUUGACGUUGAUGUUCAAUUUUCUAUUGGAUGAGUGUUGGAUGUUUUGCGAGCGUACAUGUUUUUUGUUGGGUAUAAUCUAUGACUAAAAUCCUGAUUUAUUUCAAUUAAGCUAGAAUAACAUUUAAUUAACCUUAUCAAUUGUGAUUUAGUUUUGCUCUUUUUCUGAUGGACCUUCAUUUUGGUCAUUUUCUUCUAUUCAAUUACAGAUGAUUUCUACGAGAAAGUCCUUAUCCGUUGCGUUGAUCUACUCAUUGUGAUGUCGAUGGACAUACAAAGAGAAAGUCUUGCUAACUAUUUAACUACUUGGUAAAGCUAAGUAUUGCAAUUUCCAUCACAAAACAAAACAGUAGUUGAUUUUUUUUGGGAGAUGCCAAACACAAGUUGCUCUUUUGUUGGGCAUUGUCAGUUUGUCCAAUUUUGAGCUGAAGAAGAAAUUGACAAGGAGGAAAUCUGUAGCUAGAUAUUUUUGUGAUAUAGUCUAUUUUUUUAUUUAGAUUUCUCUUAUCUUGAUGCAUUAUUUGAUCCUAUUGUAUUUUGGAUGUAUUAAUAAAAGGUCACCUUGAUUUUUUCA